CCUACGGGAGGCUGCAGUGGGGAAUAUUGGGCAAUGGACGCAAGUCUGACCCAGCAACGCCGCGUGAAGGAAGAAGGCUUUCCGGUUGUAAACUUCUUUUUAGGGGGAAGAGCAGAGGACGGUAUGCCUUGAAUAAGCUACGGCUAACUACGUGCCAGCAGCCGCGGUAAUACGUAGGUGGCAAGCGUUGUCCGGAUUUACUGGGUGUAAAGGGCGUGCAGCCGGGGAGACAAGUCAGAUGUGAAAUCCACGGGCUCAACCCGUGAACUGCAUUUGAAACUGUUUGCCGUGAGUGUAGGAGGGGUAAUCGGAAUUCCUGGUGUAGCGGUGAAAUGCGUAGAUAUCAGGAAGAACACCGGUGGCGAAGGCAGAUUACUGGACGAUAACUGACGGUGAGGCGCGAAAGCGUGGGGAGCAAACAGGAUUAGAUACCCCAGUAGUC
rnacentral:rRNA from 1 species